UCAGAGGAAAAAUUACUGGCAAAGCAGCACAGAUCCUAAUCAACCAGAACGUAAAGAGAAACUGCCAAGACAUUAUCGAUAGGCUAGACGAUUCCUAUGCCGACAAACGACCAAUAUACGUACUGGAGGAAGAGAUGACAAAAAUACAACAAAACACGAUGUAUCGUUGAACAAAGCAUUGAAAUCUUAAAAAGACGGUGGAGUAUUUGAAGAUAUGACAAGAGAAGAAGGUAUUACACCACAAAAGUGGAAGAUUUGCUAACAUUUGUGAGGCAUUACAUACCAUCUGCAUAAAAUUUACAAUUAGCUACGACCCUCAAAAAUUGCGAUUCUUAUCACACACAAGAAAUGGACAAGGGGGUAGCGAACAGCUUCACCGCAAUCGACCAAAUAAAUAAUUUUAAUUCAAAAAUGUAUAUAUCCUUAUUCUUGUAAAUAAUUUUAUUUUUAUUGGCAACUAAAAUACAAAAAUUUGAUCACAUAAAUAAUUUUUUAUCAAUUUUUUAUGAGAUAUUCCAUUCAUUGGUUUCUUGUUUAUGUUCUUUAUUCCUAAAAAUUAUAAAAAACUUGAAAUUUAAAAAAAUGUUGCUCACGCUUCCAUAAAUUUGUAUAUUACGAUUGGUAAUUUGCGUUCGAACGACCAUUCGAACGAACGGAUACGUUUGUCAUCAUGCCAGAUUACGAUAGAAGCGUUACGAUCACGUAUGUCAUAAUACGAAAUACAGGGGUCGAAUCGUUACAUCCGUGCACCGAUCGGCAAACGUACGAAAGAAAAUUACGUGAUACGUCAAUCGUAUGCGAUGAUUGGCAUUAUGACAUACGAUAGCAAACGGAUCGAAUGUAUUUUCAAUUCACAAUAGUUUUUAAAUCCCAGAUUGCUUUGGAUCGUAUUUUUAGGUUACAAUAGAUGUGGAACUGUCAAAACUGUUGCGAAAUUUUCAAUAAACUAUCAAAAGCUAAUUAAAUAUCAAAAUGAAUUCAUGUUUGUUUUUUUAUUUGAGCUCUAGUGAAAGUAAUGGGCAUAAAAAAGUAGUGCGGAGGUAGCUAGGAGAUCGUAGCAAUAGCAUGUAUCGUUGAACAAAGCAUUGAAAUCUUAAAAAGACGGUGGAGUAUUUGAAGAUAUGACAAGAGAAGAAGGUAUUACCCCACAAAAGUUGAAAAUUUGUUAACAUUUGUGAGGCAUUACAUAACAUC